rnacentral:misc_RNA from 1 species
GAAUUGCGAUAUGUAAUGUGAAUUGCAGAAUUCAGUGAAUCAUCGAAUCUUUGAACGCACAUUGCACCCUCUAGUAUUCUGGAGGGUAUGCCUGUUUGAGUGUCAUUAAUCUAUCAACCCAACUGAGAUGUAAUCUUGUGUUUGGUGCUUGGAUGAUGAAGGUUGCUGGAGUCAACAUCAGCUCCUUUUAAAUGCAUUAGCAGAACUUUGUAUCAGCUUUGGUUUGAUAAUAAUUUUAUCUGAGCCGUUGCUGAUAAGCAAUAGUUUAGCUUACAAUUGUCUCAUUUGAGACUGUCCAACUUUUGGGCAUUAUUUUGACUUGACCUCAAAUCAGGUAGGACUACCCGCUGAACUUAA